CGGCGGACGGGUUAGUAACACGUGGAUAACCUACCUAUAAGACUGGGAUAACUUCGGGAAACCGGAGCUAAUACCGGAUAAUAUAUUGAACCGCAUGGUUCAAUAGUGAAAGGCGGUUUUGCUGUCACUUAUAGAUGGAUCCGCGCCGCAUUAGCUAGUUGGUAAGGUAACGGCUUACCAAGGCAACGAUGCGUAGCCGACCUGAGAGGGUGAUCGGCCACACUGGAACUGAGACACGGUCCAGACUCCUACGGGAGGCAGCAGAG
rnacentral:rRNA from 1 species